rnacentral:rRNA from 1 species
UUCAGACGAUGCGUCAUGCAUAUCAAUAAGCGGAGGAAAAGAAACUAACAAGGAUUCCCUCAGUAACGGCGAGUGAAGCGGGAAGAGCUCAAAUUUGAAAUCUUGAAAGGUCACCUUUCACGAAUUGUAGUUUAAAGAAGUGUUUUCUGUUACGAUCGUAAUAUAAGUUCUUUGGAAUAGGACAUCACAGAGGGUGAGAAUCCCGUCUAUGAUUGCGAUUUGUAGCUUUGUGAUACGCUUUCAAAGAGUCGGGUUGUUUGGGAAUGCAGCCCAAAACGGGAGGUAAAUUUCUUCUAAGGCUAAAUAUUGGCGAGAGACCGAUAGCGGACAAGUACCGUGAGGGAAAGAUGAAAAGAACUUUGAAAAGAGAGUUAAAUAGUACGUGAAAUUGUCAAAAGGGAAGCGUUUAACACCAGUGUUGUUUUCUGAAAAUCAACCUCUGUUAGCUUUAUGCAUGUUUGUUUAGACCUAAUCAGCUAUCUUGCAUGUUCUAUUGUUUGCAGUGGUGCACUUUUCAGUUUACAGGUCAACAUCAGUUUUUUUUACCGUAAAAAAGUUAAAGAAAGGUAGCUCAUGGCUCCGGUCGUGAGUGUUAUAGUCUUUUUCCUAUGCGGUAGGAGAGACUGAGGUCUGCAGUGUAGGCUAUUUGGCUAGAUACUCAGGUGCUAUGUGAUACCAUUUCAUAAACAACUUGUUGACUAUGUUUAGUCUAUGUAGCAUUACUCGCUUGUGCUAUUUUACCUACGCUUAGGAUGUUGAGUCGUAGAGCACGCAG